UACAGAGGUCUCAAGCGUUGUUCGGAUUCAUUGGGCGUAAAGGGUGCGUAGGUGGCGCGCUAAGUCAGGUGUGAAAUUUCGGAGCUUAACUCCGAAACUGCAUUUGAUACUGGCGUGCUUGAGGACUGGAGAGGAGACUGGAAUUCACGGUGUAGCAGUGAAAUGCGUAGAGAUCGUGAGGAAUACCGGUGGCGAAGGCGGCAUCCUGGACCGACAUUGACGCUGAUGAGCGAAAGCUAGGGGAGCAAACGGG
rnacentral:rRNA from 1 species